rnacentral:rRNA from 1 species
AGCUCCAAUAGCGUAUAUUAAAAUUGUUGCAGUUAAAAAGCUCGUAGUUGGAUUUCUGGUACGGCGCACUUGGCCCGCUUCGGUUACGAGGUCGAGUGCCGGUGUGCGCCUGCCAUCCUUCUAGAGUACGACUCUCCCUUCAGUGGGUUGGGCCGGAAUCUAGAUCAUUUACUUUGAAAAAAUUAGAGUGUUUAAAGCAGGCUUACGCUAUGAAUACAUUAGCAUGGAAUAAUAAUUUAGGACUUUGGUCUUAUUUUGUUGGUUUCUAGGACUAAAGUAAUGAUUGAUAGGGACAGUUGGGGGUGCUAGUAUUCAGCGGCCAGAGGUGAAAUUCUUGGAUUCGCUGAAGACUAACUUAUGCGAAAGCAUUCACCAAGGAUGUCUUCU